CACACACACACACACACACACACACACACACACUUCAUGACUCAGAGCUUAAGAGGCUUUGCAUUUCAUCCAGUAGGCACUGGGAGCUGUUGAAAGUUUUCAGUGAUGGAGCAUCUGAUGAGAUUGUUGUUUAGAGACAUUGCCCUGGUGGUAGCAUAGAGGAUGUUUUAGAGAAUUGAAAAGUUACUUAGAAGGCCAUUUGGAAAAUCAGGUGAGAAAAUAUGAUGGGCUCUAAGUUUGUACUAGUCAAAAUAGAAAAGAGGAAAUAGACCUGCAAAGUAGUUGGAAUCCUUGGAAUUUGUUUACCAUUUAGCAUUGCAGAAAGAAAAGUAAAGUAAAGAAAAAAGUUUUUGAAGAUGACUGUCCAGCUUAACUGACCAUAUGAAUAGAAGCAGAAGAAAGCAAGAAGAUUCUAAGUUUAGUUUUAACAAUGUUGAUUUGGAAAACCGAUAGGACACCCAGAAAGGAAAGAUCAGUAAAUGAUUGGCCGUGCUGGUCUUGGGUGGGCAAGGUGUCAGUACUGCUCAGGGUGAGUAGAAUGAGAAGAGAAGAGUGACGGGGAUGGAACAGUGAGAAAAUGCCAAUUUAGGAUUUGGCUGCAGUGACCCUAUGAGGCAUGACCUGGAAGAUCCACAGGUGGCCAAGGUGCAUCACUUUUUUGUCAUUCUGUUCCUGAAUUGAGCAGUAAGGAUUAAGUAUACUACACACCCCUCUUUAUUUAUAAUCAGAGUAUUUAUUUUUCAAUUACUUUCAAUUCAUGAAAUUUAAGUAGAUCACCGUGAUUUACACAUAAGUCAAUGAGGGCAUCAAACAAAAGAAAGGUUGGUUGAGUACUCCCCUGUAUUCUUUAUAAUUGUCCCCAUUCUUAGGCAUGGAAACUGACACUGCAUCAAGCAUGUGUGUGUUAGUCAGCUUUCAGCUACUGUAAUAAAUUAUUUGAGAUAAACAAUUUAUAAGGAGUAAAACUUUAUUUUGGCUCACGGUUUUAGUACAUGAUCACUUGGCCACGUUGCUUUGGGCCUGUUUCAGCACAGUACAUCAUGGUGGGAGUACAUGACAAAGGAGGUGCUCAUCUUAUAGCCACUGAGAGGGAGGGAGAGAGAGAGAGAGAGAGAAGGGGCUGGAGUCCCUAUGUCCCCUUCAAGGGCACUCUCAAUGACCAAAGAUCCUUCUACCUAGGUCCAGUUCCUAAAGGAUCCAUCACCUCCCAAUAUCCCCACAGUCUGGGGACCAAGCCUGCAACAUAUGAGCCUUUGUGGGCCAUUUCAGAUCUAAACUAUAGCAAUACUAUAUGUAAGUGCCAUACCAGUCGAGUUUUACCCCCUCACCUCCCUACUAACAAUUCUAGAGCCAUAGUUGCUGCAAGAUAGUCUCAUCUUAAGGGGCUGGGGAUUUAGCUCAGUGGUUUCGCUGCCUGCUGCGAAAGUGCAAGGACCCGAGUUCGAGCCCUGGUACCAAAAAAUAGUCUCAUCUUUUUCUCAAUGAUUCAGUGCAGAGUUUCCAGUAAGUAUAGUGUUCCUUUUGAUGGCUUUUUAAUACCUACAUCUCCUACUUCUCCAAAUCCCUCAACUAAAAUAACCUUCAUCGUUCCACUUCAGCUGUGCACACAUGCCACACCUCAUAGAUCUGCUCCACUCUCAGUGUUUCCAACUCUAUUAGUCUCCUCUUUGAAAGAGCCUUCAUAUAUCUGGUCCUUCCUUUCUGUUUCUCCUAAACUAUCUCCUUUUCUUUCUAUCCAUUUCCUGUUCUGUCCUUGUUUUCCUGUCUAGGAAGUCAGGGAAGGAGGAGGCUGGCAACCUUUUCAAAUAUCUGCUUCUGUAUCCAGCUCAGAAAUAAUCAAAUGGUUUGUUGGUUCCAUGGUUCAUGAAUUCUUUAUUACAGUAGGAGUCAUCAAUUGGAUGGAGAAUCAUUGAAAUUUCAUCAUAGAAUCCUGCUGUCUUUGCACUGGGCUGGUGCUCCUUUUGUUCAUCUCCAAUGCUGCUGAUUGUUUUAGAUGAUUGGACUGAGGACCCCAAGAUAAGAGAUUUGCAAGGACAUUCAACUACCAGUGAGGACCCAGAACUCUCCAGUAAUUGCCCUAAAACUAUGGAUUCAGGUGAAGCCUCUGCAAAACUGAGACUGCCCCAAACAGAAGCAGUCAUCUCAUGGAAACCAGAUUAAGUGAUAAAGAUCUCUCCUCAGACCCAGAAUGCAAAACCAGAACUGACAAAAUGAUCACCCCUAGUCCACCCAGACAAUUCCAUUAAAGCUGGUCUCAUUCCUUUA